GGAAGGGUAUAUUAGCUAAGGUGUAGGUUAAGCUGUUCUAACAAAGAGCCCCCAAAAUACAGUGACCUAGAUAAAACCACGCUAACAUUUUGGGAAAAAACACUGGGAACUUCUGGUCCUGUUGCCUGUGUUAACUAGACCAAGAGGCCCAUGUGCAGGAAUUAGAGCUGUCCGCUGUGAUGUUUCCUCCUUUUAAUGCUAUGGCUGGGACUGUUCUGCUAUGAGGCAUGACCAAAGUGUAGAACCCUCAGCCGGGAGUUCUCCACUGUGAGGGUUCCAGCAGCCCGACCAGAUGGAGGGGAUGGAGGGAAAGAUGGCUUUGAAAACGAAGGAGAAGGAACCUUUAAAACCAAGAAAUGGUACCUAUACCAGAUAUCUGCAGGAAGGAUCCAUGUAACUGCACAGUGAUGGAAACAGAGGAAAGGGUACCUCUGCCACUCCAGUGCAGCCUGACAUUCCUGAGAUGCCUCAAGGCACAACUGAACAUAUGGUAUGCACCUGGGUAUGUGGAGCUUGAGGAAGAGCUUCACUCAUCUUUCACCUUCUAUUCUCUGAUGCUGGGUGGGGUCUCCUUUCUGUUUUUGUUGUUGUUGUUGUUCUUUUAUUUAUUUAAUGAUUGGACCUGAGCUAAUAUCUGUUGCCAAUUUUUUGUUCUUCUCCCAAAAGUCCCCUAGUACAUAGUUUUAUAUUCUACUUGUAGGUCCUUCUGCUUCUGCUAUGUGGAUGCUGCUUCAGCAUGGCUUGAUGAGAUCCAUUCCCAGGAUCUGAACUGGUGAAGCCCUGGGCUGCUGAAGCAGAGCAUGUGAACUUAACCAUUCAGCCACAGGGCUAACCCCCCCUUCUUGGUUUUUGAUUUCCACGCACCACCGUGAUGUCAGACUCUCUUUGACUUUGAGAGUCUUCUCUGGCAGAGAAGGGAGGUAGAAACCUCUUCAAGUGUGGGGUGGUUCCUGCCUUAACUGAUAUCGCUGCGAAACCUCUCUCCACCACCUGGUGAUGGGCUUGGCACCUGUCGCAAGAAGUUGGACCUGUAGCAUGUGCACUGGUUCUGAAGCCUGUGACCAAUCCUCCCACUGCCAUCAAAAUAAAGGGUGGUUCUGAGACCUAUUUCA
rnacentral:lncRNA from 1 species